UCUGUGCGACCGCUGUUGGACAGUGAAAAUAGCACCAUCUACCUAGAUGUGGACGAAGAAGAUAGUGGCAAUACUGUUGAUGGCUUCACUCAACAGAUCUUUAGUGAUCAUAGCUCCAUUCAAUCCAAUGUUGGUUUACCUCUUCCAUUGGAAACUGAGCAUUCUGUUUACGUCGAUGCUCAAGAAGAUAUGCAAAACGGUGUGGAUGCCUUGAAUCGAAGGGAUAUAAUCGUGGAAAGGAGUUUGCUUAUCAUAAAUUUCGCAGUGGAGCUUCCAUCAGCCGUUUUUGAUCAGCUAUCAUCAGUGCACAAACCCCAAUAUGCACUGCUUAGUAUGUUAAUGUCAUUAGCAACCAUGCUGUUCUCCAUCAUUGACCUUGCUGAUAAGGGUAGAAAAGAAAGAGUUGAAUGGAUGGUGAGAGGUUAUUUACCUUGGUUUUACUCCCCAUAUCCAACAAUGUCUGAGUAUGUCCCCAGAGGCUUGUAAUUUGGAUAUGGGGAGUAAAACCAAGGUAAA
rnacentral:misc_RNA from 1 species